AUAGGUUCUAAAAUCAGGUAGUGUGAGGCCUCGGACUUUGUUCUUCUUCUUGAGUAAUGCUUUACUUAUUCGGGACCUCUUCCCUGUCCAUAUGAAGUUGGUGAUUUGUUUCUUCAUCUCAUUAAAAAAUGCUGGUGGUUGGCCUUGCCUCCAUUUCCACUGCUGUCCCCAGUUCCUGGCAGCUGCAUGCAAGGAGGCCCACAGGUGGGGACCAAAGUAGGGUAAGGCAUGAGCCAUCUGAGUGCAACCUUGGCUCUGACA